GCAGAGAGGGCUCUUAACCACUGAUCCAUCUCUCCAGUCCCUUUGACUUAUUUACUGUGCUCUCAUAGACCCAUGCCCAAAUAUUUCAUUUCUGGAACUGAUUGACAAAAGUAUCUAAAAGACAUCAGUAUGAUUUCCUGCAUUUUUUCUUUUUCUUCCCUGCUCCUGGUUUGGGUUUCUCUAGCCAGGAUUUCUCUUUAGAGCCUUGGCUGUCAUUCAGCCUGCUUGAACUGCUUUCUAGACCAGGAUGGCUUCAAAUGCAGAGAUCCACCGGCCUCUGCCUCCUGAAUGUGGGGAUUGAAGGUGUGUGUCACCAUGGCCUAGCAGUUUCCUAAACUUUUCCUCUCAGUGCCGAAUGGAAUCAAAGGACCUUAUGAAUGCCCAUGUUCCAACCCUGAGCUACAUCCCAAGCCCUCCUGGCCAUUUUAUUUGGUUUAAAAUUUGAAGUAGGGUCUCACUAAGUUGACUACCGAGGCCUCAGUGUCUUUUUGCACCUCAGUUGGCCUUGAACUUGGGAUCUUCCUUCCCCAGUCUCCCAAGUAGCUGGACUCACUGUCCUGUGCCAUCACUCAGAGGAUUACCCUCCUGUAAUGUUGCCUGUGCCCUGGAUAGCUCUCUGCCCGACCCUACCUUCUCUUGUGGGUCGGGGGUGAGCUGGCACAGAGUCAAUGACACAGACUCUGGGAGCAGGUGAGAAAUUCUGCAGCAAGCUCCUCUGAGCAAUGCUGUAAGCUCUGUUAAUACCCUCCACUCUCGCCCCCAUUGUUUCCAGGAAAGUAUCUAUUCUAAACAGCAGUUCCUGAUUGGCUGGCAUUGUUUACACCAGCAAUCCUUGCUCUCUCAGCAGUCCUCAAUUAGGUCCUCCUGCAGGAGAUGCUUUUGCAGUGGCACGGCCUCCAGUGUUUACAUAGAGGCCACCCUGCCGUUCCUGCUACACUGUAAGCUUGCUAUUGUCUGUGGGCAGACAGAGGAUAGUGUCUCAUCUUUCCUCCCCUCUGGAAAGCUACAAGGAGAUCUGUUGCAAGGGGCAUAUUCUUGCAGGAAGGUCACCAUAGCCAGAAAGGCACUGUGUGUUCAUUGUUGGUAUACAGAAAUACAAUUUAUUUUUUAUGCUUAUCUUCUGUCAUGUAUAGGAGACUAAAGAUGGUGAAGAUGAUCUUUGGCAUAGAAAUGACCACAACCAUGAAGUACUCACCAGUCAGUCAAUCUGCAAGAUGCUUCUGGAAAGGUCAAUCUACAACCACAGACAAGCAAAUAUGUAGCCUGGACCAUCCCGUUCUUCUCUCAAUUAAUUUGAAAAUCACAAGGAAAUGAUCUGAACUGAGCUACUGUAGCCAUAUCUCAAUAUUCCUGCACCUCCCUCUCUCUGUCUCCGUCUCUCUGGCUCUGUCUCUGUUUCUGUCUUUCUCUCUUUCUGAAACACGUAGCCCUGGCUGUCCUGGAACUCAUAGAGAUCCUGCUGUCUAAGAAGGAAAUCUCCUGUGUCACAGAAGCAUGCUAUUUUUUGUAUAGUCUCAUGUGGCUUUGAGAAUAGUCUAUGGCCUUAUUUGACCACAGCUGUCCAGGGCUUCAUUUCUGUCUCCAUUUCCUGUUUAGUUGUUGGCAUCAAAGUGUUGUAACCCAUCUUAGCCACCUGGUGUCUGAGUGACUGCGAUGGCUGACCGCCUUCCUCUUUCUCACUGGUAGCAUUUGCUUCCUUCUUAUGUCAUAGGGGUUUAUAAUGUUUAUUAUUCUCUUCAAAGAACCACCUCUAGUUUAAACUCUUAUUUUUCUAUUUGUCAGUUUUCCUUUAAAAUGAUAUCUGCUCUAAUUUUUAAUACUUCUUUUUAUCUUCUUGUGUCUUCCUUAAGUUUAAUUCACUUAAUUUUUUAAUGAUCUCAUAGCAAAAGGAUGCAUUACUAUUCUAAAUACCUCUCCUGUAACAAUAUAUACAUUUAUAGGAACUAAUUUCUCAUUAAGGACUAUUUUAACCAGAUUUUGAUGAUUUUGACUUGUUGUUCACCUAACCUUGUUAUCAGUUCCUCUGCACUCUCAGGGCUUAUGUUCUGAGGACAGUGGAGGUGGCAGAAUAUGCUGAUGUUUAACAACAUAUCCCCAAGAUGAGAGAUACUCAACCCCAGCAAAGCCACACGGAUCUGUGAUAGAAUCUGACUGGAGAAGAGACUGGGGGGUCCUGAGACCAAUGGGCAAAGAAAAUCACCUUUGCAAAAAUAACCUUCCAGCCUGUUGUGCUCUGCACAGUUUUAAUCCCAGAAUCUGGGAGGCAAAGGCAGACUAAGGACCAGGACAAGAGCCAGGGCAACAGCUGUGAGGACCGAGUGAAUCAUGCAUUUACCACAUGAAGGAAAAUCCAAAUUAAGAAAGACAUAGGAACCCAGCAAUUAAAUGGAGAGGAAACAAGAAGAUGCACAAUGAGGGCUAACUGAAGUCAGAGUCCACUUCCUGAUCGGUGUAACAAGCUGUGAACAAGCUGCACAGGAAGCUGAAGCUGCUACAGAGGAAACUUCCAGAACAGCUCUGCCAUGUCUUAUCUGCCAUGAUGGACCGAGCCCUUCCUAAUGGACUUCUUGGUGACUUAGUCUGCCGGAGACUGGUGAUGCUGCCUCACACUCCCUCCUCAUUGGUUGGAUCAGAAACCAGCCUCUGUAAAACCUCUUUGUCAUCCGCGUCUUCAUUUCCACUUUAGUGGUGGUGUUGUGACAAUCACCAUUCCUAUCAGGGAUGAGGAAGCUGGUGCGGAAUCGCUAAGCAACCUGUGUGGAGUCCAGUGGAGCCACAGUCGGCAUUCAAGCAGGCUGGUUUCAGAGGAGUGUGAUGUAAGCGUCUGCCCUACGCCUCUCAUGGCUGGUGGUCCGGACUUUCAUACGACCACGUGGGACAACUGGACGAGUCUGCCUGGACUUUCCUCCAGCGUUCUCCACAUCCUGCGUGGAUCCUGUCUUAGGGAUGGAAGUCUGCUGCUGUUGCUGAGUGUGCCCUUUCCUCUAAGGUCCUAAGGGGUGAAGUCUGUGCAGACAGCUGUGUGGACAGCCCAGGGCCCACAGUAGCUGUCUGACCAAUAAAAUCAAACACUUCUGAAGUAACAUCAGAUGCAUAGAUGCUGGCAUGACUAUGAAUGUGCACAGUAGCCACUGUACAGGUUGGGGAAUCUGAUUCAGUACUUCGCAUUUUCUUUUAGUUAGAGUUUUAUUAUAUUGUCCCACAUCACUUGUAACUUGAUGUGUAGACCAGGUUGGCCUUGAACUCACAGAGCUCCAUCUGCCUCUGCCUCCCAAGGGCUGGGAUUAAAGGCGUGUCCUGGCAGGUCCAGCUAUACUCACCUUCUG